rnacentral:rRNA from 1 species
CACGUAGGGGGCGAGCGUUGUUCGGAUUUACUGGGCGUAAAGGGCGCGUAGGCGGCUUAACAAGUCACUUGUGAAAUCUCCGGGCUUAACUCGGAACGGCCAAGUGAAACUGUCAAGCUAGAGUGCAGAAGGGGCAAUCGGAAUUCUUGGUGUAGCGGUGAAAUGCGUAGAUAUCAAGAGGAACACCUGAGGUGAAGACGGGUUGCUGGGCUGACACUGACGCUGAGGCGCGAAAGCCAGGGGAGCAAACGGG